AAGAAUGAGCAGAGGUGGUACCUCCAUGGAAGGGGCAGAGAAGGUUGGGGCCAUAAUUCCGGGGCUAGAGGGCCCCCUCCCUCGAUGCUUCAAGGAAGCUUCCGGAAUGUUCCUUUGGACUCGGUGGGACGUACCCACCAAUGUGACACCAGCGCUCAGAGUUUUUCCAUCUGCAAAGUAUUUGGAAACAGUAACUAAUUCAUCUAGACAACACACCUGGGAGGCAGAGCGGUAUUAACUGCUCUAUGUUACUUGGCUAAGUACAGGCUAAACCUCUUUAGUCCAACGCCCUUGGGACUUGACCGGUGCUGACCCAGAGAAUUUGCUCAAUCUCAGGAUAGAGAUAAUCCAUAUGGCCAGUGGAGGAGUUUAUUAUUUCUAAUGCCAACUGGUUAUUUCUGUCUUUGAAUUCUGAUUGGUUGAAGAAAUGAGAAAAGAAGAAAACUGGACAGGAGCUUUUGAGUUCACUGCACAAAUAUGGGACUGAAAAAGGAAAAGAAAACAGAAAGAAGCAAAAGAAGCAAAGCACUGAACAACAUGCUUAACGUCGUGUCUGUAAGCAAACUCACCAAAGUAGGCGAGAUGACAAAUUGGGAAAGACAUGCAAAUGGGCUGGUUGAAAAACAACAACUAUGAAUCUGCAAAACAAAUUGCCUUCUUUUUUGGUUCUCUCAAAAUAUUCAUAAAAGCAAAAGUUAAUCAUUAAUUUGUUUUUCUUCACUUUUCUAAUUUAUAAACCAGUUGUCAUAGAUUUCUAAAUGUAACUGAUUUUUACCAAUAAAAACUUACUGACAUGCUGUUUCAUCAGUGCAGGUAAGUGCCACGCUGACAAGUCCUUCAUAUUAUUUCUGAUGCUUCUGAACUACUCAUACACUUAACCAUUCUAAGUAUCCCAAUCACCCGGUCAACUUCCUGCUGGCAUGUGAACAGGAAUGACAAAUUAUGAAGUCACAGAUCAAGGGCUCUCUUAGAACAGGGUCAUGCAAGCAUAUCAGAAAACAUCCCCCAUGCCUCUCAUUGAAAAUAAAUGCCAAAAAGCACAAUUCCCAAUCCUGCAACUACACUGCCACUGUCCAGAGACAAAUAAAACUUGCAACAAAAAGAUGUUUUCUGAUGAAAUAUUCGAGAUAACAUUGUAUGGUCUGUUCCUUGAAUUAGCCCUUUAAAAUAAAGAGAGUGUUUUUUUUCCCUCCAUGUUGUAAUGUUCCCAACAACUGCCCGAGUCACAGGCAUAACAAAAUCAUAUGGGAACUCAAGGUCAAAUCCUGCCAUGAUUCAGACGCUGGGCAAACCCAACAUCGGAUCAGUGAGAAACUGCCAAGCUUUUUGCUCAGUUUUGCAUUUUUUAUUGAAGGUUAUCUUUCCGAGGAAAGGGCUAGAGCAGACUUUGAUUUCAAUGAGAGAUGUGUUUUGACUUGACAGGGCGAUAUGCCUCAAAGUCUAACUCAUGGCAGAAUUUGCCUCACGGUUUUUUGGCUCCCUCGAGGAGCAGUUCUAAAUGUAGCUUUUCCUAUCACCAGGAAUAACCAUUCGCCAGAAUGUUUAAAAAGAAGCUGCAUGUGUGAGUCUGCUUGGUGGCGUGAACUUUUCAACACACUUCAUGGAUGCAAAUACUGCACAAGUGCACCCCAUUUCGCUCAGCGGGGAUAAAAAGAGAGGAAGCUAGCGGGACAUGCAUGCUAAUCAUCAAUCUAUAUUUUUUCUUGUACAUGGUAUCAAACUCCCCAUAACGGGGUCGGCACUCACCUCACAUGAGCGGCCCUGUUUGGUCGAGUGCGGGUUCCUGCAUUGUCUCAGUUUUAAAAGCCUUGCAGCUACUCAGCCCUCCAGGGCUUCUACCCCUGGAGACAGUGUCCUAACAGUUCUCCACUCUGAGCUGCACUUGGUUCUUCCUGCCAGGCCCCUUGACCUUCUCCCUUCCCAGUCUGAGCUACAAGUGAGCUGCCUCUAGUGCUGCAGCUUCUUAUAUAGUCCCUCCUGGCUCCUGAUUGGCUGGUUCCUCCACAGCCACUCUAGCCUCCUGGAGGACUUCUCUAUAGCCCUCAUGGCUUUAAGGCCUAGCCCCAUUACACUCCCACUUCCUUUAUGUGUUUCUGUUUAGCUUGUAAACCAUUCCAGGCAAGAGUUGCCUCUUGCCAUCCAUUUUUACAAGUUUACUACAAGGAAGCCCCAACCCUGAGUGGGGCUUUUCAGUGUUACAACCAACAACAAAUAGUAGUAAUAAUAAUUGGAAAAUAAAGAAUAGACUGAAAAACCGCAAGAUCUCCAGCAGCCCCCAAACACAAUAGUCCACACAAUAGGAAUUAAGAUUUGAAGGAAAUUGCUCAAAUUUUGUGACGCUUCAAUGUAUGAGUUUAAACUCACCAUAAGAACAUAAGAGCGGCCAGACUGGGUCAGACCAAAGGUCCAUCUAACCCAGUAUCCAGUCUGCCCAUAGUGGCCAAUGUUAGAUACCCCCAGAAGGAGUGAACAGAACAGAAUAAUCAUCACAUGAUCC